GGUUUCUAACUAAAACAUAAUUAUAACCGAGGCAGAAGAGAACAAAGCGCUAGAAGGGACAUUGCCUGAGCUACUCGGUGGAAUAUAUACUGAAGACAUCUCAGCAGCCCAAUAUUAACAGUUCUUGUUUCUACUUGGUAACAACAAAAUGUGAGCUAAUUUCAGUUUGGAAGGAGAAAAUGAAGGGAAGAGUCCCAAUCUUAAAUUAUUAGAGCAAAUAGGGGAAGGGUGGUUUGUACUUUGCAGAAAAUAAAACCACAGGGAAGUAUGAUUUACUCAUGCUCUUACAGGAAAUAUGUAGAAGUAAAGAGGUUAUCUGUCCCUCCUGACUCACAGCCCUGGAUUUGGGUGCAAGACCAUCCUUCCGCUGUUAUGGCACACUGGUGUUUCUCAGUGAACUAACUAUGAUCCCUGCAAAAAAUACUUAUUUGUCCUUUGUUCAUAUAAAAUUUGCAACAGUUCCAUGCCAAAAUUUGACAUAUAUCAAAACAGAAGCUUGACAGCUUUAAUUUAUAUUGAACAUAGCUCCCUUGAGUAUAUUCCUUGAAUAUUCCUCCCAUCACUGAAUUAUUUGAGCCGUCAUGAAGAAGAGAGUCUGGGAGGUAAUACUGCUACUUUUAUCUACAUUGGCUCUGGCCAGGAAUGACAGAUAAUGACAUUUCAGCAGGGAUUUCUUUUCUCUUCUUUGAGCAUCAGACUGCCUGAGGAAUGGCUGAGAUCCUCUGAUCCUUUACCAGAUAGCACAAUUUUCGGGAGCUCUCGUAUGAUGAUGACCAGAGUCCUGAUAACUCUUGGUCCAUACCCAGAGAACUCUCAAGAGCGAUGGCAGAACUGCAGCAAAGACGUUUCAGAACAAAGAGUAUUCCAGUAUCAGCACAAUAACCAAAGAUCACAGAAUCACAGAAUGGUUGAGGUUGGAAGGGACCUCUGGAGAUCAUCUAGUCCAACCUCCCUGCUCAAGCAGGGUCCUCUAGAGCACGUUGUCCAGGAUUGUGUCCAGAUGGCCUUUGAAUAUCUCUAAGGAAGGAGACUCCACCACCUCUCUGGGCAACCUGUGCCAGUGCUCUGUCACCCUCACAGUGAAGAAGUUUUUCCUCAGGUUCAGAUGGAACUUCCUGUGGUUCAGUUUCUGCCCAUUGCCUCUUGUCCUGUCGCUGGGCACCACGGAGAAGAGACUGGCCUCAUCCUCUUGACACUCCCCCUUCAGAUACUUGUACACAUUUAUGAGAUCGCCUCUCAAUCUUCUCUUCUCCAGGCUGAACAGGCCCAGCUCUUGCAG
rnacentral:lncRNA from 1 species